CGAGUGCCCGGCGAGCAGGUCACCUGCCUGCACGCGCCGCCCUGACCUCUGCGACCACCUUAGGACCAGCAAGGGGGCGCCCGGGGGCUCAGGGCGUGACCCCGGGUCAGCAUCGGGCUCCCUGCAUGGGCCUGCUUCUCCCUCGGCCUGUGUCUCUGCCUCUCUCUCUCCCUCUGUGUCUCAUGAAUAAAUAAAUAAAAUCUUAAAAAAUAAUAAUAAUAAGACCAGGAAGGCUCACGCUCGGGACACGCACCCUUAGGCCCCGAUGUCAGCAGCCCCUCCCCGAGCUGGGGGCCACCCUUUGCUCUACCUACAGUGGAGACACUGUCUUGGUAGCCAGCUGCAUCUCAGGACCUGCCCCACGUAGCCUAUCUCAGCAGAGCUGCUGCAAGCCCUGCGGACCCAGAGGCUUCCGUUGAAGGGAACCGACCCAACGCUGUUCCCGUCAGAAUCCCUUACAGAACAGGACAGAUCAAGCCAUCAAGAACCAUUACCCAGCCGAAGUGACAGCACAUCCGCGUACGAAGUUUCGGAAGGAGUCUCUCCACUCAGCCUACAAAGCUUUCCUCUCCUGUUGAUCUUUUCUCAAAAAAGGCUGUUUAUUGGGGUCCCUUUCUCUCCAGCCCAUUUGCUGGAGUAGGGCUUUGCAAAGCCGGUCUCCUAGCAGCCGAGUGCAGAAGGCCCAUUCGUAUUACAAUGGACGGGAAGGAAAGAAAGAGCCUGGUCUGUUUAAACUGCCUCUGUCUUCAUUCACAGCCUGAUGUCCGCCUGCAUUGUGACACCCACAAUGGCACUAAAGGACUCAUUGUGGCCGAAAACAAAUCAAAACAGAAUAAGGGACGCUAAGAUAAAAGAGUCAUGCAGCAAAAUUGCUUAAAAAAUCUAAGUCUUACAUCUGAGAUUUAUGUUACCUUUUGGCUGUGUGGCCUAUUGACCGGUGUUUAUAAUAACCACUAGAGUUUAAUAAACAAAAAGAUAAA